rnacentral:misc_RNA from 1 species
GUAACAAGGUUUCCGUAGGUGAACCUGCGGAAGGAUCAUUACUGAGUGAGGGUCCCUCGGGGCCCAACCUCCCACCCGUGUAUACCGUACCUUGUUGCUUCGGCGGGCCCGCCGCGCAAGCGGCCGCCGGGGGGGCGUCAAACCCCCCUCCCUAGGCGAGCGCCCGCCGGAGACACCAACGUGAACACUGUCUGAAGUUUUGUUGUCUGAGUUCGAUUGUAUCGCAAUCAGUUAAAACUUUCAACAAUGGAUCUCUUGGUUCCGGCAUCGAUGAAGAACGCAGCGAAAUGCGAUAAUUAAUGUGAAUUGCAGAAUUCAGUGAAUCAUCGAGUCUUUGAACGCACAUUGCACCCCCUGGUAUUCCGGGGGGUAUGCCUGUCCGAGCGUCAUUGCUGCCCUCAAGCACGGCUUGUGUGUUGGGUCGUCGUCCCCCCCGGGGACGGGCCCGAAAGGCAGCGGCGGCACCGCGUCCGGUCCUCGAGCGUAUGGGGCUUUGUCACCCGCUCUUGUAGGCCCGGCCGGCGCUGGCCGACGCUGAAAAGCAACCAACUAUUUCUCCAGGUUGACCUCGGAUCAGGUAGGGAUACCCGCUGAACCUAAGCAUAUCA